rnacentral:rRNA from 1 species
AAGAUGGAACAUCUGAGUGGCGGACGGGUGAGUAACACGUGAGCAACCUGCCUUACAGAGGGGGAUAACGUCUGGAAACGGACGCUAAUACCGCAUGACGCAUAGAGGUCGCAUGAUCUUUAUGCCAAAGAUUUAUCGCUUCAAGAUGGCCUCGCGUCUGAUUAGCUGGUUGGCGGGGUAACGGCCCACCAAGGCGACGAUCAGUAGCCGGACUGAGAGGUUGAACGGCCACAUUGGGACUGAGAUACGGCCCAGACUCC